GACGGAGGAGGCGAGCGUUGUUUGGAAUUACUGGGCGUAAAGCGCACGUAGGCGGGACUGAAAGUCAGGGGUGAAAUCCCGGGGCUCAACCCCGGAACUGCCUUUGAAACUUCCGUUCUCGAGGUCGAGAGAGGUGGGUGGAAUUCCGAGUGUAGAGGUGAAAUUCGUAGAUAUUCGGAGGAACACCGGUGGCGAAGGCGGCCCACUGGCUCGGUACUGACGCUGAGGUGCGAAAGCGCGGGGAGCAAACAGG
rnacentral:rRNA from 1 species